GUAGGGAAUAUUGGGCAAUGGAUGCAAGUCUGACCCAGCCAUCCCGCGUGCCGGAAGAAGGCCCUCAGGGUUGUAAACGGCUUUUGCCGGUGAAGAACCGACAGGAUGCGUCCUGUUUUGACGGUAGCCGUUGAAUAAGCACCGGCUAACUCCGUGCCAGCAGCCGCGGUAAUACGGAGGCUGCGAGCGUUGUCCGGAUGUAUUGGGUUUAAAGGGUGCGUAGGCUGGAAGGUCAGUCAGCGGUGAAAAGCUAUCGCUUAACGAUAGUCUUGCCGCAGAUACUUCCUUUCUUGGAUGAGGAGGAGGCCACUGGAACGGAUGGUGUAGCGGUGAAAUGCAUAGAUAUCAUCCAGAACACCGAUUGCGAAGGCAGGUGGCUGUACCUUAAUCGACGCUGAUGCACGAAAGCAUGGGGAGCAAACAGGAUUAGAAACCCUGGUAGUCC
rnacentral:rRNA from 1 species